rnacentral:rRNA from 1 species
UGCCAGCAGCCGCGGUAAUACAGAGGUGGCAAGCGUUGUUCGGAUUUAUUGGGCGUAAAGGGUCCGUAGGCGGCCUGAAAAGUUGGAUGUGAAAUCCCACAGCUUAACUGUGGAACUGCAUUCAAAACUUUCAGGCUCGAGUGUGAUAGGGGUAAAGGGAAUUCCCGGUGUAAGGGUGAAAUCUGCAGAGAUCGGGAGGAACACCAGUCGCGAAGGCGCUUUACUGGAUCACUACUGACGCUGAGGGACGAAAGCCAGGGGAGCAAACGGGAUUAGAUACCCCGGUAGUCCUGGCCGUAAACGAUGGACACUAGGUGUUGGGGGGGUUAAACCCUUCGGUGCCAAAGCUCACGCAUUAAGUGUCCCGCCUGGGGAGUACGGUCGCAAGGCUGAAACUCAAAGAAAUUGACGG